CAGCACAGCCGCAGCUGGUGGAAACACACACAUUGACUAGAAUUGAAUCCUAUCGGCUUCGCUGUGGUGCCGGAGCGCAGAUGCAACCAACAUGCAUCUGGUGGAAAUUGGGGGGAUGGGCUGACAUUGCAGAUGGUGUCAGAUGGACUGCAGAAGACGACCCUGGCUCUUGUAGCCAUGCAGACAGUCCCAGGUCAGCAUCUGAAGUAGUUCCUGGAUGAAGUGCGACCUUUUCCCGAAGACACCUUCUCUGGUGUAAAACUCAACAGGAAACAAGUGGAUGAUGAUGAUCCACAAAGUGAAAGAUAGACUAAUCAAUGGCUUCUGUGACAACCUCACCACGCAGUUUGGCAAUCUUGAUACGGGCGUCUUGAAGGCCGCUGACACCAUUUUUGACCUAAGCAACUGGCCUGAAGACAUCACUGACCUGGCCACCUUUGGCCUGGCCGAUAUUGAGACUUUUGUCACUCACUUCCAGAAAACUGAUGGGUUACAGGGAGCUUUGUGGAACACUGUAUUCCCAAACAGUUAAUCUAAGUAACAAAACUUUUGAAAAAGCCAAAUUAACUCAAAUCUGUCAUUUUUUUAG